GGUUUGACCGAGUGCCCUGGCUUGCCUGGGACUGAGGGGUUUACAGUGAUGAGAGACUUUCUGCGCUGGGCAAAUGAGGAUGGUUGAU
rnacentral:miRNA from 1 species